rnacentral:rRNA from 1 species
UACGUAGGGCGCAAGCGUUAUCCGGAAUUAUUGGGCGUAAAGAGCUCGUAGGCGGUUUGUCGCGUCUGCUGUGAAAGACCGGGGCUCAACUCCGGUUCUGCAGUGGGUACGGGCAGACUAGAGUGCAGUAGGGGAGACUGGAAUUCCUGGUGUAGCGGUGAAAUGCGCAGAGAUCGGGAGGAACACCCGUAGCGAAGGCGGCACUCUGGGCCGGUACUGACGCUGAGGAGCGAAAGCGUGGGGAGCAAACAGG